GUGUAGCUCAGCUGUAAAGUGCUCGACUGCAAAUUGAGAGGUAUCCGGUUCAAACCCGGGUGUCACCU